AAGAGACCGCCAACAAGCUUGCUACCAGCUGGGCCUGAUUACUAUAUUGACCGCAUCAACUCCAUGGCAGCUAUGCAGACACUAUUUGCUUUUGAUGAAGAGGAAAUGGAGAUGAGAAACAAGGUGAUAAGAGGAUCUAAAGACAGCCCUCCGGACUCAACCAAUGAGGUUUGUGACGCGCUUCAUCGAGUUGGAUGGCUUGACGUGUCUUCUGAACUUCCUGAAGAGCAUGGAUUAUGAAACCUCAGAGAGCCGCAUACAUACAUCCAUCAUCGGCUGCAUCAAAGCCUUGAUGAACAACUCCCAGGGCCGUGCCCAUGUACUGGCCCACCCCCAGAGC